ACUAUUCUUAAUUUCAAGCAUGUUAUGUGAUUUAUAGACACUUGAUGAUUUACAUGAAAUUAAAAUAGUAUGAAAUUGGUAAGGGUAUUCCGAAAAUAAAAGUGUGACAUCCCAAGUGCUAAUUAAGGGAAAUGAGUGUCAGAUAUAGAUUCAGAAUAACGAGUGCAUGAUAAAAUUUAUGCAGCAGAACAAAAUCACUACAAAUCCCUU
rnacentral:lncRNA from 1 species